UGGGGAAUAUUGCACAAUGGGGGAAACCCUGAUGCAGCGACGCCGCGUGAGCGAUGAAGGCUUUCGAGUCGUAAAGCUCUGUCCUAUGGGAAGAUAAUGACGGUACCAUAGAAGAAAGCCCCGGCUAACUACGUGCCAGCAGCCGCGGUAAUACGUAGGGGGCUAGCGUUAUCCGGAUUUACUGGGCGUAAAGGGUGCGUAGGUGGUCUUUCAAGUCGGUGGUUAAAGGCUACGGCUCAACCGUAGUUAGCCUCCGAAACUGGAAGACUUGAGUGCAGGAGAGGAAAGUGGAAUUCCCAGUGUAGCGGUGAAAUGCGUAGAUAUUGGGAGGAACACCAGUAGCGAAGGCGGCUUUCUGGACUGCAACUGACACUGAGGCACGAAAGCGUGGGUAGCAAACAGG
rnacentral:rRNA from 1 species